rnacentral:lncRNA from 1 species
ACACACACACAAAAAAUCUUUAGGAGCCAGACAACCACUGUGGACACCAAUAAGAGAGCUCCAACAUUGGUGAGGUAUAGACCCGUCAAAGUUGUUGGUAAUAACAGCAAGGUCCAUCUGGCAAGAUUGGUCACCUGUGGUGGAAGUGGUGGUGACAGCAGGGAUGCAACUGCAGCAAUCAAUGAUGAUGAUCUCACUAGGGUGGGGAGGUGUUAAAGGCAUCUUCACAGCAGCACAGUGCCCAGAAUGCCAAAGAGCAGCAGGAUGGAUCCAGCAUCCUCUCCUGAUAAAAGAGGGCUAGAAGACGGGAGGCUCCGGGAAGUCUACUGGAGUCAUGAAGACACUGAAAAGUGAUGAAUCCACAUAACCAUGACACUGGAAAUGAAGUUUGAGUGGCAGUCAGAAUCUGGGAGGAAGCAUUGCUAAGUGAAAAUCUUAUGGAGCUUGACUAAAAAUCCCUGUCAGGAACCGUCAAAAGCUGUGUCCCUGACAUGAAAAAUCUUGCUGGAAGUUGAGAGAGGUUUAUGCCUACUCCGUGAUCCGGGAACACAAGACCUUUACCAACCAAAAAAGUGGAUAGCUGUUCUUCUGCUGUGAAGGUUAAUAAAGAACGCCAGAAGUGCCAAGCAAUUAACAACCCCAGAAGCAACCCUUAACCAAUGAUUAAAUAAAGUGGAUGAUUACAUACCCAAGCUCCUUCAACUCCCAGGGACAUAAUUCUGAGGGAUGGAAAACAAACUGAAACUGGCUCAAGUGAAUGCUCACUGGAAGGCUUACUGGAAAACUUACUGGAAGGAUGUGAGGACAUGUUCGGGAAUCUAUUUGCAGAAAACAUAUUCAGCCCUGUCCACCACAGCCAGCUGGCUGAAGAGCUCAAAAGGCAAGAAAUCAGCAAGAGAGAGAGAUGAAGCAUGAGAAAUGAGCAAAAAACACCCAGCACAUCAUAAUCUUGGACAGUUUAGCAGUACAUGAAAAUAGAUGGUCCUCGCCCCAAGGGACUGCAGUAACCCUGAAUAAACAGGAUGUCUCUCACUUUUAGCAGUUCUUUCUGUGCUAGUAUUGGGGAAAUAUAUUUUUGGCUGCAUGCAAAAUGGUAAAAGACAUCUAUUAAGAAAAUGAAAACAAUGCUUCUGUUUUAGACGAAGCUUUUGAAGGUUUAAGGAUCACCUAUUUAUUGACAAAAUUGUUUCCGUGGCUUAAAAAUAAAAUACAAACAAAUACUACAGGUA